ensembl:snRNA U6 U6 spliceosomal RNA
GUGCUCACUUCAGCAGCACAUGUACUAAAGUUGGAACAAUACAGAGAAGAUUAUCAUGGCCCUUGCAUGAGGAUGACAUGCAAAUUAGUGAAGUGUUCCAUAUAUAU